CCCGCACAAGCGGUGGAUGAUGUGGAUUAAUUCGAUGCAACGCGAAGAACCUUUGCCUACCCUUGACAUGUCCGGAACUUGCCAGAGAUGGCUUGGUGCCCGAAAGGGAAUCGGAACACAGGUGCUGCAUGGCUGUCGUCAGCUCGUGUCGUGAGAUGUUGGGUUAAGUCCCGCAACGAGCGCAACCCUUAUCAUUAGUUGCUACGCAAGGGCACUCUAAUGAGACUGCCGGUGACAAACCGGAGGAAGGUGGGGAUGACGUCAAGUCCUCAUGGCCCUUAUGGGUAGGGCUUCACACGUCAUACAAUGGUCGGUACAGAGGGUUGCCAAGCCGCGAGGCGGAGCCAAUCCCACAAAGCCGAUCGUAGUCCGGAUUGUUCUCUGCAACUCGAGAGCAUGAAGUCGGAAUCGCUAGUAAUCGCAGGUCAGCAUACUGCGGUGAAUACGUUCCCGGGUCUU
rnacentral:rRNA from 1 species